rnacentral:lncRNA from 1 species
UUAUCCGUCCAGUAAUUAUCCCUGCGUCUGGAUUCGCUGGAGCUCCUUUCGCGUCUACGAUGCAUCCUAGGUUCGCCUCCCGAAGAUAUCAUCAGAACUGGGCACACCGAUAAGGAGGAGAAGAACAUUCAGACGUGAGAACAACUAUCUGACUACAUCACGAUAGGAAAGUUUCAACUCCGAGCCAAAGAAAAAAAAAAAAUAAGAAAUAAAUAUAAACGCAUGUAUUCAUAUCGUCGAAGCCCAGCCCCAGAGGAAUGAUUUGUAGGGUGAAAUUCAUAAUUCCUAUGGUUCUGAGUGCAGAGGCACGCCGUGCAAGCGGUGGACGACCAGGAGCGUUUAAAUGGGGUAUAAAUCUCGAGCUUUCGGUCGUCGAUUCCAUGACCG